rnacentral:rRNA from 1 species
CCUACGGGAGGCAGCAGUGAGGAAUAUUGGACAAUGGGCGCAAGCCUGAUCCAGCCAUGCCGCGUGCAGGAAGACGGUCCUAUGGAUUGUAAACUGCUUUUAUACAGGAAGAAACACCUCUACGUGUAGAGACUUGACGGUACUGUAUGAAUAAGCAUCGGCUAACUCCGUGCCAGCAGCCGCGGUAAUACGGAGGAUGCAAGCGUUAUCCGGAAUCAUUGGGUUUAAAGGUCCGUAGGCGGUUUAAUAAGUCAGUGGUGAAAGCCCAUCGCUCAACGAUGGAACGGCCAUUGAUACUGUUAAACUUGAAUUAUUAGGAAGUAACUAGAAUAUGUAGUGUAGCGGUGAAAUGCUUAGAGAUUACAUGGAAUACCAAUUGCGAAGGCAGGUUACUACUAAUAUAUUGAACGCUGAUGGACGAAAGCGUGGGGAGCGAACAGGAUUAGAUACCCUGGUAGUCCACGCCGUAAACGAUGGAUACUAGCUGUUCGAGCAAUCUGAGUGGCUAAGCGAAAUGAUAGUAUCCACUGGGGAGUACGUUGCAGAAGAGANANAANAGAGUAGAGNGAGAGAGAGCGAGGACGACGACGAGGGAGGAGG